rnacentral:sRNA from 1 species
CCUCCAUGAUCUGCGGGCAGAUCAGGUGGACGUGGCAGUCGAUGGCCCCGGCGGUGAGGAUGCGGCCGUUGCCCGCGAUGAUCUCGGUGGACGGACCGACGACGAGGUCCGGGUGCACCCCGGACAUGAUGUCGGGGUUACCCGCCUUACCGAUCGCCACGAUCCGGCCGUCGCGAAUGCCGACAUCGGCCUUGACGAUUCCCCAGUGGUCCAGGAUGACCACGCCGGUGAUGACGGUGUCGGGUGCCCCUUCGGCCCUGGUCGCCCUGGACUGCCCCAUCGAUUCGCGCAG